rnacentral:lncRNA from 1 species
CUCUCCUCGGUCACCCUGCCCGUCGGCGCCUCUGCUUCCUGCCAGGACCCUGACUGAUACACACACGAACGGAGGGGCCAGAUGCGUCUUCCCUGCAAACUCGCACUAAUGGAAGAAUAGGCACAUAGUUUAGAAUGUGCACAGAUUAUCUACUUUAAAAAAAUUACUGUUUUUUCCAGUUGCUUCUUCCAAUUAGCACAGCUGGCCAGCCUCAGAGGAAAUCUGUCUUUAUCCCCAGAAUAACAGAAUGAGUCCCUGCUUCCUCACUCUGCUACCGCGCCAGCUCGCUGCUGCCCCAGCUCAGCCCCGGGGCUCUGCCUCUUGCAGACUCCCCUGCCCUGUGCUUUCUGUCGCUGUGGGCCUCCUAGCAACUCAUCUUGGUGUGUCUGACUUUCCUUUUGAGAAAUGCUUGCCACUGCAGAGUCAAGCUCGUCCCUGGACAGUUUCAAGCAGCAAGAAGCUGGUUUUUCUGAGAAUUCACUUUCCUGGCAUCAACCACACUCCAGCAGGAGACUUGGCAGGUGUGAUUAAUUGAAGGCUCUUGCGAUGAGGAGAGUAUCCCGGAUUUUCCACGGGUGGGAGAGACACGACCAGCAAGAGUCAGUCGGCUUUGAAGACAGGAGUUGGCCACCAGCCAAGAAAUGCAGGCGGCCCCUAGAAGCUGGAAAAGGAAAUGAAGCGGCUUCUGUCCUGGAGCCUCCACAAAGGAACUCCACUGUGCUGACAGCUCGAGACCAUUUCUGACCUCCGGAAUCGUAAGAUUAAAUUUGCGCUUUAAGCCGCUAAGCUUCUAGUAAUUGUUCAGCAGCACGAGGGAACUCACACCGCUGCCCAGACCCAACGCUGCUGCAUCCUUGAAGGAGGACCCACGCUGCGUCGCUCCACAGGGGCAUGAAGCGUCUGGGGUGUCACCCAUACUGUUUGUCCUGGGCAGGUGUGGGGAGCACACUGGGCCACGGCACUGAAUGUCCCCUGGGCACGGGCACCACCAGGGAUUGAAUAUUCCAGGGCAGGAGAGCUCAG